GCUUUGACAUUACACCAGAAGGCUAUAGAAGAUAUAGCCCCCCUUGUGUUUCGGUGUUACAGCUGGUGCAUGCUGUCGUCAGCUCGUUGUCGUGAGAUGUUUGGUUAAGUCCCGCAAACGAGCGCAACCCUUGUCCUGUAUUGCCAGCGGGUUAUGCCGGGGACUUGCAGGAGACUGCCGGGGUCAGCUCGGAGGAAGGUGGGGAUGACGUCAAGUCAUCAUGCCACUUAUGUCCAGGGCUUCACACAUGCUACAAUGGCUGGUACAGAGGGCUGCGAUACCGUGAGGUGGAGCGAAUCCCUUAAAGCCAGUCUCAGUUCGGAUUGGGGUCUGCAACUCGACCCCAUGAAGUCGGAGUCGCUAGUAAUCGCAAGAUCAGCAACCUGCGGUGAAUACGUCCCCGGGCUUGUACACACCGCCCGUCACGUCAUGAAAGUCGGUAACACCCGAAGCCGGUGGCCUAACCCCUUGUGGGAGGGAGCUGUCGAAGGUGGAUCGGCGAUUGGGACGAAGUCGUACAAGUNAAGCCGUANGCGGAAGGUGCGGCUGGAUCACCUUAAUAUCUANGAUGCAUUCGCGAGUACCGAUUAG
rnacentral:rRNA from 1 species